CCAGCUUCCGACGCUACUCUCGGUUUGAUCGGCUAGCAACAAGGCCUCUCUCGGAUGCACCAAUUUGCCAAGGAAACUGGCAACCAUGGAGCUGCUCCCCGACGACGUGCUCGCUUGCAUCCUCCGCCGCCUCAACGCGCGCAGCCUCGCGGCGUCCCGCUGCGUCUGCAAGGCGUGGCGCCAUGUCGUCGACGCCCGGAGCCUGCUGCGCGCGGACCUCCUCCCGCUCUCGGUCUAGGGGAUCUUGUUCGUGGAGGAGGUGAUGCUGAGCAGCAUGCGAUUCUUCGCCCGCCCCCUCAUGGAGCACCAAAUCGCCGACAGGUUCGACUACCUCGAAGACGACGUCUCCCGCCCAGCCUACCACCAUCUGGAAUUGCUGGAUCACCGCAACGGCCUGCUCUUGCUCAGGGACUGGGUGGUUAACCCGGCGACCCGGCAGUGCGUGCCCUUGCCCCCGCCGCCGCCUCCACGCGCGGGGAUGGAAGCUUUCCUUGACACCAGAUACCUUGUGUUUGAUCCCGCUGUAUCGCCGCACUACCAUGUGUUUUCGAUCCCUAGAGUCUCGCGCAGAACUGGUGAGCUAACCAAAUUCACCGUGUUCUCCUCGACAACACGGAGGUGGGAGGAGAGGUCUUUUGUUCGACAAGAAGGAGAAGCGGCCACACGGACUACCAUAGCCGACAUCAACUACUCUCCUCGGAAGCACCGCUAUGCUGUCUACUGGCGGGAUGCGCUUUAUGUGCAUUCCCAAGACGAUUCCAUUAUACGCAUAACCUUGUCCACCCAUAAGUACCAAGUGAUUCCAUCUCCAAUAGGACGUCAAGUGACAUAUCUAGAAUCUCUCUACUUGGGGAAAUCCAUCAAUGGCGUCUACUGUGCACUAAUCUUUAAUUUGGAGGAACGGCUACGGAUUUGGCUACUUAAUGAUGAUGAGGUACGCGGUCAAACAAAAUGGGUGCUCAAGAAUGACGUGAGCAUUCAGCCACUCGUGGGAAUAACACAUCAACACUUUGGCCUUCAAAACAAUGGACUUUGGACUUUGCAAAACACCCUUGUUGAACCGAUGGCGGAGCAGAAAUUUGAAUGGGAUCCUGACAGCGGCAUUAUCCUUGAAGCUGAGGCUAAGGCUCCAAUAGAUCACUUUCAUGAUGAUAUUCGUACCCUAGGAUUUCAUCCUUACAAGGAGAUUCUCUUCUUAUGGACAAAUUGCAAAAGAGUAGUAGCUUACCAUUUGAACAGUUCCAAGGCUCAAGACGUGGGAAAGUUACCCGUACCAUCGAUAGAAACGUCUUUUGUAUACACACCCUUGUUGGAUGGGGAAAUAUUAGGAAAAUAGUUAACAUAGUUGUCGGCAUCAAAGUGGUGGUAUCAGUCAAAUGUAAGAUGAUGUCACAUUGAUCUCUGUCACAUAUGUACCCCCGGAGUAUCGGCGGCGUUGACUAUUUUUUUGUUCCCUACCUUUUCUUGUAUUUUAACUUAAUUUAUCUUGUGUGUUUCCACGAUGUUUUGCAACUGAA